ensembl:snoRNA
ACUGAGUCUAGUGUCACAUCCUGACACAAUAUUUGCCCUGAUGUGCUGAAGUUCUCAAAGAGAAUAUGCUGGUAUUGUCUUGCUGGGAUUUGCCAGAUCAGAAAUAUAU